GGUAAGUCCAGCCCUAGGCUAAAGUGAGAGGGUCUGCUGGGACAGUGUGGCUGGACCCACGUGGCAGGGGGUGUUAAUCACUGAAGGGAGGUAGAGUGUUUUUCCCCACCAGAGGAGGCAGCGACCACGUCUCCUCUAUGGAGGCAUUCAAGAGCCAUCCAGCUGAAGCAGCAUCACUGUCUGAGCUUGGAAGGCACAAUCCACAUCGGUCUGCAUGGUCCACCGAGCUGCAUACCCACGGGGCCAGCGGGAGGUGGGCAGCUGCUGGGCUUUCUUCUGAAGCAGGGUCUUGCUCUGUCACCCAGUCUGGAGUGCAGUGGUGCCAUCAUAGCUCACUACAGCCUGAGCUGUACUGAGCUCAAGGGAUCUUCCCAUUUCAGCCUCCUAAGUAGCUGGGACUACAGGCAAGAAGAAAGCUUCCCUACACAUUUAUCAAGGCUGUUAUAAUCCUGACUCCCAAACAAGGUGCCAGAAAGGAAGAGACUCAAAAAGAGACUGCCUGCCCUGCUCACCUUGACUGAGCGCUGACGAAGACAACGGGGCGUUCUGCGCUGCAAGGGCGGAGGUGGCCCAGAAGCCCACAGUGCCCACGUGCAGGACCCAGGGUAGGGGGUGAGGCCGGACGAUGGCACCCGCCCCGCUGGUUCCCAGCCACACAGGGAGGCAAAGUAAAGGCAGCCCGCGGGCGGACGGAGCUGCAGGGCCCGAGCGUGGGCAAGCCCAGGACAGCCUGGCGCAGGGUUGCGGGCGCCCGACCUCCAGCGUGGCCCGCGGAUGCCAGACAAAGCUUUAAAGCCUCCCGCCGCACAGCCACCCACCCGUCCCCAGGUGUGAGGAUGGUCUGAAGAACCUCUCUCUCCUCUGCCGGCUGGAGAGUUCCAAGACGAGUAAGGCAACAGCAAGGACGACACAACCACACACCACCACAACCACACACCACCACCACCACACACCACCACCACCACACAUAACCACAACCACACACCACACACGUCCACAACCACACACCACCACACCACACAUAACCACAACCACACACCACACACGUCCACAACCACACACCACCACCACACCCACACCACCACCACACACAACCACACAUAACCACAACCACACACCGAAACCACACACCACCACAACCACACACAACCACACAUAACCACAACCACACACCACAACCACAACACACAACCACAACCUCCCUCUGAGCAGCUCAGGCUGCUUUAACCAACCAAUUUGGAAUCCAAUCAAAAUCCUCUGCUGCCGUCUAGCGACGAAUACCGGGAAAGCAGAAUAUAUAGUAAGAAAGCUGUUUUAAGAGGCAAAAAGUGAUCGUCUAAAGGUUUGAAAGUGCAAGCCAGAAGAACCUGGUCAUCCUGUGUUCAUGACAGUGCCUUGAACUGGGUCACCCCACACUUGCUAAGGGGCUGGUGCGGGAUGUGACAAGAAGAAAGUCGUCAAGGGGACUCCAAGAUUUCUGACUUGAGAAACUGAAAAAGCCACUGUUAACUGAGAUUUUUUUUUUUUUUUUUUUUAAUGUGGGUGAAACGGAUUUGGGCAUAAAGAUUUAAAAAUCCAGUUUGAAACGUGCUAAAUUGGAAUGUUUAAAAGGGAAUACUUGCUAAACUGAACAAUAAUUAUGCUGUCUCCAGGUUAGCAAGUGUCCCCUUUUAGGUCAAAGGAUACAAAUUAGCAAGUAUGUAGGAGGAACAAGUCAAAAGAUCUAAUGAACAACAUCGGGACUGUAGUUUCUAUAGUGUGUUGUGUUAAGGAUUUUUGCAAAAUCAGUAGAUCAUAGCUGCUCUUGCCACAAGGCGGAAAAACGGAAAAACAGGUAACUAUGUGAGAUGAUGGAUAUGUUAAUUUGUUCCACUCUAGUAACCAUUUCACUAGAUACAUAAUAUCAUGUUGAACACCUUAAAUAUACACCAUUAGAUUUAUUUUUUAAAUAAAAAUGAAACAUGACUUG
rnacentral:lncRNA from 1 species